rnacentral:rRNA from 1 species
AUUGAACGCUGGCGGCAGGCUUAACACAUGCAAGUCGAGCGGGGACUUCGGUCCUAGCGGCGAACGGGUGAGGAAUGCUUGGGAAUCUGCCCAGUAGUGGGGGAUAACGUUUCGAAAGGAACGCUAAUACCGCAUACGUCCUACGGGAGAAAGGGGGGGAUCUUCGGACCUCUCGCUAUUGGAUGAGCCCAAGUCGGAUUAGCUAGUUGGUGAGGUAAAGGCUCACCAAGGCGACGAUCCGUAGCUGGUCUGAGAGGAUGAUCAGCCACACUGGAACUGAGACACGGUCCAGACUCCUACGGGAGGCAGCAGUGGGGAAUACUGGACAAUGGGCGAAAGCCUGAUCCAGCCAUGCCGCGUGUGUGAAGAAGGCCUUCGGGUUGUAAAGCACUUUAAGCGAGGAGGAAUGGCUCUUGGUUAAUAACCUUGAGCAGUGACGUUACUCGCAGAAUAAGCACCGGCUAACUCUGUGCCAGCCGCCGCUGUAACAC